CAGUGGUUUCAUAAGUACAAAAGAUCAUGCAUAGCAAAUAUUGGAAAUCAUCUCAAAAUGAUAUCGUCCAUUUCCACUAGUCAUCAUCCUAUGCAUAUGAAGUUAGAAUACCAUUCUAUCAUUAUCUGAAGACACAUUUAAUCACCGGGAUAUCAAUUCAACUAUGGUUAAUAAGAUGUCUACUUACAUCUCUAUCUGCUCGACAGAUCUUAUGUCCGAAUCUGAAUUGUAAUAAUAAGAAAAUUCAAGGCUCUCAUGCUCGUUACUGUACAAUGUC
rnacentral:lncRNA from 1 species